rnacentral:rRNA from 1 species
AUGGUCGCUCCGCCGCCAUCCCCGGACGAGCCGCCGCACUUCUUGAAGAGCACAGACGUGUUCGUGUACGCAUCAUGUACUGCGUGCCGUCCCUCUGCUCCGGACGAACUAGUCGUUCCCGUGGCACACGAAGCAGGAGCGCAGCUGCACGGUGCCACCGGUGAACUUGGAGCAGAGGAGGGAGAGCCUGGCCAUGGCGGAGCGCAUGCAGCCGGUGCAGACAGCGGCCGGGAGGUCCGAGCAGCACUGGUAGAGGCCGGCCGCGGAGGUGUCACGAACGCACAUCCAAUGUUUGAUAAAAUGUCUAAGAAAAUAGAGACGGAUGUUUACAGGUAG